ensembl:lncRNA
CUUCCUUGAGGGGCCCACAUUCUUAUGGAAGGGAAGGGAAGACACACACAAUAAACAGUAAUCACAGCAAAUGGGUACCUUAUACGGUACAUGGCACAGGAUAAAGAGAUACGGGGAAAACAGCUUUGAGUAGAGGGGACCAGGAGUACUGAGGCUGUAAGGGAGAAUAGGUUACAGUAUUAAACAUGCUAGUCUAGGAAGGCUUCAUUAAGGAGGUGCAGGAAAAGAGCAAAUUAGCCAAGAUGGUGCGGUCAGGCUCUCUCGCCCCUCAUCCUCUCGGCCCUCCCCCCACGUUCUGUGAAUACAGAUUAUGUUAACAACCGAGAUCACGUCUAGUACUGCAAUGCGGGGCACGAGGUACGCGCUUGGCCACGGGCUAGUUUUGUUCUGUAAACACAUAUAAGCUCCACCUGAAACGCCCUUGGUGACAGAGUCGUGUCUGCUGCUCUGGCUUUUGUGCUGGCCGGGAGAGACUAGGUCUGGAGUUCCUACGGCUCCCUGAGUUUUCUUCCAGGCUCUUGGCUCACGCCUUGCCUACCCUGGGUUCAGUGAACGGUGAGAUACAGCAAGGCCAGAGGUAAGAUUUUGCAAAGAUUUGAAGGAGAAGAGAGGGCCCGAUGAUUACUUGAGAAAGAGCAUUUCAUGAGGAACAAACAGCUACUGUGAAGACCAUCAGUGUUGGAGCAUACCAGACUUGUUUUAAGAAACAGCAGAAAAGCCCUGGUGGCUGGGGUAGACUGAGGAAAGAGGAUGAAGACUAGGAAACGAAGUCAGAAAGAGGCAGAAAUGAAGUCUGAUUUGGGAAUUUAAAGAUGACCUCAACAUUUUUUUUUUUUUUUUUUUACAGUAUUGGUCAGUUACAGGGGUAGUGGAGGAAAAGACAGUCUAGUCAUUUAAGGAAGUAAAAGAUACUUAACUGCUACAGAGAAAGAAAUUUUAAUGGACGUAGAAACAAUCCUUUGCAAGAAGUGCAGGCAAAUGCAAAAUGGCAUUAUUAAGUAAUGCUAUUAAGGAGCCCAUUCUUUAAUCAUUCACACCUCUGAAUCCUCUUGGAGUUCCCCGAAUUCCCGGUCCUCUGC